AUCCAACUGACGAGUCCGACAUAGGACGAAACGUGUGUACUGAAU
rfam:Schistosoma curassoni strain Dakar, Senegal genome assembly, scaffold: SCTD_scaffold0002784